UCUGUUCCCGUGUCCUGGAUUAUUUUUAGUGGUGGCCGACUCCAUCUCCUUCCACCUGCUAUUUUUUCAUCCCAGGAAGAUGUAAGAGCUCCAGCGCUGCCCCUUCCUCUCGCUAAGAUGCUAUCUGCCCUUUCUCUUCCCGUCUCUUAUCCUUGCCUCUCCUAUAGGUGGCCGUUUCUUUCUCCUUCCAGCAGUCAUGAAGUGCGGUCCAACACCCAAGAAGGGUGUUGUUUUCUUCCAGCAGCUUACCUGUGGGCUUCUAUGCCAUCUCCAAAUGAUCAGACCACAAGUUCUUUCUUCCAUAAGGCUGGUGUCCAUUUCCUGGUCCUCCAAAUAACUUCUACCCAAUUUCAGAUGCUGUCCCAUUCUUCUAAUUCAAGAAAUAUGCAACAAAGUUCCGUCUAACUCUUCUUUAAGCAUUCAAAAAGAUAUGUCAUUGCUAGUUCUAGGUUUGCACAUAACGUUCAUGGAAAAGGCCUUACGGAGUAGGACUCCUUGUUGCUAGCUUGGGUGAAACUGGAGCCCAUCUCUAUUACAAUUACCGAAGUGGAAACUAUUUUGAGUACCAAGCUUUUUGCGAUUGGUUCACGCUUCCAAGCUACAAAGACCUACUUGGAACGUAGAUUUAACAAAUUCGAUAAGUACUCCCGUGAAGAAUUUGAUCAAAGAUGGACUCUUUUCUAUCAAGGAGACGGUGCAAGGUGAAAAGCUGACAAGUGCAAUCUGCACGGUUGCUAUUGUUGGGGUUGGGGAACCAUUUCAUAUCAUUAAUCAACAGGAAAUUUAGCAAGUUAUCCAGUCCCUUGACAUUAUGGAAGAUGAUCAGGCUGCUGUUGCUUCUGUUGCUACAGAAUCUUCUUCUGAAGAACCAAGUGUAGCUCAAGAACUGGGGGCAGCACCAAUGGAACUGUUGUAAAAUUGAGAUGGUAUUGAGGUGGAGAGACGCACCGGAUAGAAACUUUGCUAGUGACAUUUAGGAUCAAUUAUUUAUGAUGCUUCAUUUUUUUUAUCUUUCAUCUUAGGGCUAGUAGUUUGGUACUCACAGUUGAGAUUCUCUCAAUUUAUUUGGGGAGACUGGAUUUCUGACUCUUUUUUUAAGGUUGGAAGCCAAACCAUCAUGUUUUUUCUUUAGAUUAUUUGGAUCAUAUUGUCCAAUAAUUGGCAUCCUCUACCACCCAAAUGGCUAAAGGUAAAUGUAGAUGCUUCUCUACUUUCUUCCAACAAAGCAGGGAUAGCAGCUGUUUUCCGAGACAGCAAAGGGAGAUUUCUUUAUACUUAUGAUAGAUCGUGCACUCACUGGGACAUAGCUCAGCUAGAACUAUUAGCUAUUCAUUCUCUAAAUGAUGAGAUAAAGGAUUGGAUGUUCAAAUACAAAGGCAUCAUCAUUGAAGGAGACAACUCAAAUGCCAUUUCUUAUCUUCAAAAAGCUCAAACGAAUGAGGGUAGUUAUCGACUCGAUGAGGAUGCUUGCCCUGAAGGAUUUCUUUGGAGAAACUCGCAUGGGACCGUUAAAAGGAACUCAUCUAAGGAAAUCAAUGAGCUUUACUUACCCAAACCUAUUGAGGAGCUCACCUUACACAGGGUGAAUUAGAGAUUCUUUAUCGAAUCACCACUUCUUGUUACCCCACUCACUUGCCCUUCCCUAGAUCAUUCAAGUUCGCCUAGCUCAACUAUAUGAGAGUGCUUGUUCAACGAACUUCUCAUAUAGUUUUGUUUAUAUUGUCUGGCUUUAAGCUCUUCAUUAAUAGCAUAUAUCACUUGCU